UACGUGAGCAGUCGAACAACUCACGCAAAUACACAAGAAGGAGCCAGUGUGCCUAGAUCAUCAAUGCACAACUGUAAAGUAAAAGUAACGUUAUUCGCUAUUACUAUUGCAACAGUCAAAAUGUCUACAUCAGACAACUGGGCGUUAAAAUAUUUUAGAAAGUAUGAGAAUUUUCAAACAAAAUGUAUACUCUGUCCACAUACUUUUACGGAUUGCGAUAUUGAAUUUGCACAUCAUCAUUUCAAUCAACAUCAUGCAAAUACAAGUAGAAGAAACGUUUCUUGGACACAGCACUAUUUUAAAAGAACUAGCGAUUUAUGCUUUAAAUGCAAUUAUUGUACGCAAAUUUAUUGUACGGGAACAUCAGUGACAAUAUUACGUGAUCAUUUGCAAUAUAAACAUAAUGUAGUUCCACCACAGACAGAACCGUAUUAUAUGGGCUGUAUAGAGGAGCAUAUUAAACAGCAUGAUGAUUGUAGCGUGCGAUGUCAGAAAUGUGGUCAGAUUUUACAGUUUAACUUUCCCUGUAGACUAGAAGACCACAUAUACACAGAUCAUCCCGCCAUAUGGACGUACGAAGAAGAGACUGCAUAUAAACAAAUAGGAAUCAGUAUGUCUGAGCCAUCGACAAAUGCAUGAUAAUUUUAAAGGCAAAAACAAUGGACAAAUUUUGAUGACGUUUCUACAUUCAAAAAGAUACUAUGGUUCUACGGUUCUACAUACGACCAGCGAAAGCAACAAUCUCGACUUUGACAAAUUA